UGGCCUCGAACAAGUCGCUA
rnacentral:snRNA from 1 species